UACUGCUCAGUAACACGUGGAUAACCUACCCUUAGGACUGGGAUAACCCUGGGAAAACUGGGGAUAAUACUGGAUAGGCAAUUAUUCCUGUAAUGGUUUUUUGUUUAAAUGUUUUUUCGCCUAAGGAUGGGUCUGCGGCCGAUUAGGUAGUUGGUUAGGUAAUGGCUUACCAAGCCUUUGAUCGGUACGGGUUGUGAGAGCAAGAGCCCGGAGAUGGAACCUGAGACAAGGUUCCAGGCCCUACGGGGUGCAGCAGGCGCGAAACCUCCGCAAUGUGAGAAAUCGCGACGGGGGGAUCCCAAGUGCCAUUCUUAACGGGAUGGCUUUUCAUUAGUGUAAAGAGCUUUUGGAAUAAGAGCUGGGCAAGACCGGUGCCAGCCGCCGCGGUAACACCGGCAGCUCUAGUGGUAGCAGUUUUUAUUGGGACUAAAGCGUCCGUAGCCGGUUUAAUAAGUCUCUGGUGAAAUCCUGCAGCUUAACUGUGGGAAUUGCUGGAGAUACUAUUAGACUUGAGAUCGGGAGAGGUUAGAGGUACUCCCAGGGUAGAGGUGAAAUUCUGUAAUCCUGGGAGGACCGCCUGUUGCGAAGGCGUCUGACUGGAACGAUUCUGACGGUGAGGGACGAAAGCUAGGGGCGCGAACCGGAUUAGAUACCCGGGUAGUCCUAGCUGUAAACGAUGCGGACUUGGUGUUGGGGUGGCUUUGAGCUGUCCCAGUGCCGAAGGGAAGCUGUUAAGUCCGCCGCCUGGGAAGUACGGUCGCAAGACUGAAACUUAAAGGAAUUGGCGGGGAGCAC
rnacentral:rRNA from 1 species